UACGUAGGUGACAAGCGUUGUCCGGAUUUACUGGGCGUAAAGAGCGCGCAGGCGGUCGAUCAAGUCGAGUGUGAAAGCCCCCGGCUCAACUGGGGAGGGUCAUUCGAUACUGAUCGACUCGAAGGCAGGAGAGGGUAGUGGAAUUCCCGGUGUAGUGGUGAAAUGCGUAGAUAUCGGGAGGAACACCAGUGGCGAAGGCGACUACCUGGCCUGUUCUUGACGCUGAGGCGCGAAGGCUAGGGGAGCAAACGGG
rnacentral:rRNA from 1 species